AUAGAAUUAGAUAGAGAGAGAAACUAACAACUCUUUAACAUUACCAUUACCAUUAGAGAGAGAAACCAAACCAAUUUGUCUCCUUAAUGUAGGGGAAGAGAGGGGCAAAGCUUUUCGGCAUUUGGUCUCCCUUCUCUCUCUAUUUGUCGGCUCUUUCUCCGGCCACCAUUUGACUGCUAAACUCGCCGGAACUCACUUGCCCAAAAGCCCAAAUCCACCCAUUAGUUGACUUUUUUUUUUUGGGCUUUUGGGUCACUUGCUUUACUUUCCCUUUCUCUUCCCUUUUGAGCUGAUCUAGCUAAGUUCAUCGGCUGAAGUAAAUCUUUUACGCUUUUUAAUCUAUACUCUUUUCAGUUCAAAAAGCUAUAUAUGCUAUGA
rnacentral:misc_RNA from 1 species